GAGUAUGAGAGUGAUCUGGUUGCAACACCUGUCAUGCCAUUGAUUGCCAGGCUAGCUUUAUUAGUUCUGGCUGGCUAGGCAAGUGUCUCCUUUCUUCCUUACCCUUCCACAUACGUCUCUUCCUUGACAUACAUCUGUCAAGGAAGGCAUGAUUCUCUAAUAAAGUAGACCAUUCUUCAAAGAAGGCUUCCCAGGUGGCUCAGCAGUAAAGAAUCCACCUUUCAAUGUAGGAAACCUUGGAGAUGCAGGUUUGAUCC
ensembl:misc_RNA 7SK 7SK RNA